UACAUGGGGUGCAAACGUUGCUCGGAAUUAUUGGGCGGUAAAGCGCACGUAGGCGGUUUGUUAAGUCGGAUGUGAAAUCCCGUCGGCUCAACUGAGGAAGUGCAUCCGAAACUGGCAGGCUUGAGUACUAAAGAGGGUCGCGGAAUUCCCGGUGUAGAGGUGGAAAUUCGAUAGAUAUCGGGAGGAACACCGGUGGCGAAGGCGGCGACCUGGGUAGAUACUGGACGCUGAGACG
rnacentral:rRNA from 1 species